GACGAACGCUGGCGGCGUGCUUAACACAUGCAAGUCGAACGGAAAGGCCCUGCUUUUGUGGGGUGCUCGAGUGGCGAACGGGUGAGUAACACGUGAGUAACCUGCCCUUGACUUUGGGAUAACUUCAGGAAACUGGGGCUAAUACCGGAUAGGAGCUCCUGCUGCAUGGUGGGGGUUGGAAAGUUUCGGCGGUUGGGGAUGGACUCGCGGCUUAUCAGCUUGUUGGUGGGGUAGUGGCUUACCAAGGCUUUGACGGGUAGCCGGCCUGAGAGGGUGACCGGCCACACGGGGACUGAGAGACGGCCCAGACUCCUACGGGAGGCAGCGGUGGGGAAUAUUGCACAAUGGGCGGAAGCCUGUGGCAGCAACGCCGCGUGCGGGAUGACGGCCUUCGGGUUGUAAACCGCUUUCGCCUGUGACGAAGCGUGAGUGACGGUAAUGGGUAAAGAAGCACCGGCUAACUACGUG
rnacentral:rRNA from 1 species